rnacentral:rRNA from 1 species
AUGCCGCCCGCCGCCAUGGCGCCGCCGCAGGCCCCCUCUGCAGGGGAUCCGCUCUACAUGGAGGAGUCCACGCAGCCCAAGCCCGCCGACCCGGAGCUCCCCAACGGCGCCGGGGACCCGGACCAGCCGGAGCCGGAGCGGGCGUCGCCCGUUGCCGCACCAGCGGCAGAGGAGGAAGUAGCGGCUGUGGAGGAGGUCCCGUCGAGAUCGGAGCCGUCCAAGGGUGCGGGGACGAACGCUGACGGCUGGCGCCCCUACACCACGGGGGAGCUGCUGGGGGAGGCUGCUGAGGCCGCCGCCGGGAGAUCCGACUUCGCCGACGGGAAUGGGGCCGGAUCCGCCACCCCGGAGCGCUCCAGGACGAAGGGCCGGACGAUGAGAAGGAGGUGGCAGAUGAUGAGCAUCAAGGGGAUCUUCGACCGCUACCAGCAGGCCACUGGGACCAGCCUGUGGAUUGAGCAGUAUGAGCGCACCUGCUUUGACGCCGACACAUCCAUCGUCAUCGCCUUCGAGGACGAUGAGGACACCGCAGGCGCCGUCGGCCUCGACGGCGGCUUCCACCGCUACCACAUUGUCGUCACAUACUAG